rnacentral:lncRNA from 1 species
GGAUUGUUGGUAAAAAUUAGGUGAAGCAAUGCUGGAUUAGGAGACGUGGAUGUUGUUUGCAAAAGAGAGCACAACCUAACGCGGAUGUGACAACAUACUUGGGUGAGAGGACCCACAUGGAUGUGACAAAUAUACUUGAGCUGGCGGCAGUCACAUGUCAUGAAGUAUAUGGUUUGGCCCAUUUAACAUCAUCAUGUGUCAUAAGUAUGUUUUCAAGGAGAAAGAAAAGCAUGGAUUGGAAAAUAAUCCAGAAUUAUUAGUAUGACUGUAUGGCAAUGUUGAGAAAUUUUCUGUUUUAAUGAUUAGAAGGAUGAGACC